GAUGAACGCUAGCGGGAGGCCUAACACAUGCAAGCCGAGCGGUAUUGUUUCUUCGGAAAUGAGAGAGCGGCGUACGGGUGCGGAACACGUGUGCAACCUGCCUUUAUCUGGGGGAUAGCCUUUCGAAAGGAAGAUUAAUACUCCAUAACAUAUUGAUUGGCAUCAAUUGAUAUUGAAAGCUCCGGCGGAUAGAGAUGGGCACGCGCAAGAUUAGCUAGUUGGUGAGGUAACGGCUCACCAAGGCGAUGAUCUUUAGGGGGCCUGAGAGGGUGAUCCCCCACACUGGUACUGAGACACGGACCAGACUCCUACGGGAGGCAGCAGUGAGGAAUAUUGGUCAAUGGGUGCAAGCCUGAACCAGCCAUCCCGCGUGAAGGACGACUGCCCUAUGGGUUGUAAACUUCUUUUGUAUAGGGAUAAACCUACCCUCGUGAGGGUAGCUGAAGGUACUAUACGAAUAAGCACCGGCUAACUCCGUGCCAGCAGCCGCAGUAACAC
rnacentral:rRNA from 1 species